rnacentral:rRNA from 1 species
GCGAAAGCGAUGCUAAUACCGGAUAAUAUCUUUCUGGUCUCGAUCUCAAAGAUCAAAGGUGGCCUCUAGAUCUAAGCUACUGUUUGGAGAUGAGCCCGCGUACCAUUAGCUUGUUGGUAGGGUAAUGGCCUACCAAGGCUGCGAUGGUUAGCUGGUCUGAGAGGAUGAUCAGCCACACUGGAACUGACACACGGUCCAGACAACUACGGUUGGCAGCAGUGAGGAAUUUUGCACAAUGGGGGAAACCCUGAUGCAGCAACGCCGCGUGAGUGAUGAAGGCUUUCGAGUCGUAAAGCUCUGUCAAGUGGGAAGAACCUGCGAGAUGAUAAUACCGUCUCGCACUGACGGUACCACUGAAGGAAGUACCGGCUAACUCCGUGCCAGCAGCCGCGGUAAUACGGGGGGUACUAGCGUUAUUCGGAAUUAUUGGGCGUAAAGGGCGCGUAGGCGGUCUUUUAAGUCAAAUGUGAAAGCCCGGGGCUUAACCCCGGAAGUGCAUUUGAAACUAAGGGACUUGAGUAUGGGAGAGGGAAGUGGAAUUCCAGGUGUAGAGGUGAAAUUCGUAGAUAUCUGGAGGAACACCGGUGGCGAAGGCGACUUCCUGGACCAAUACUGACGCUGAUGCGCGAAGGCGUGGGGAGCAAACAGGAUUAGAUACCCUGGUAGUCCACGCAGUAAACGUUGAACACUAGGUGUAGCGGGUAUUGACCCCUGCUGUGCCGCAGUUAACGCAUUAAGUGUUCCGCCUGGGGAGUACGGUCGCAAGAUUAAAACUCAAAGGAAUUGACGGGGGCCCGCACAAGCGGUGGAGCAUGUGUUUAAUUCGACACCACGCGAAGAACCUUACCUGGACUUGACAUCCCGAGAAGUCUUUCGAAAGUUAGAUGUGCCCCUCGGGGAACUCGGUGACAGGUGCUGCAUGGCUGUCGUCAGCUCGUGUCGUGAGAUGUUGGGCUAAGUCCCGCAACGAGCGCAACCCCUAUCUUUAGUUACCAGCAUUCAGUUGGGGACUCUAGAGAUACUGCCCCGGUUAACGGGGAGGAAGGUGGGGAUGACGUCAAGUCCUCAUGGCCCUUAUGUCCAGGGCUACACACGUGCUACAAUGGACUGUACAAAGGGUUGCAAGCCUGCGAGGGUGAGCUAAUCCCAGAAAGCAGUUCUCAGUUCGGAUUGGAGUCUGCAACUCGACUCCAUGAAGUUGGAAUCGCUAGUAAUCGUGGAUCAGCAUGCCACGGUGAAUACGUUCCCGGGCCUUGUACACACCGCCCGUCACAUCAUGAGAGUUGGUUGUACCGGAAGUUGCUGGGCCAACCCUUCGGGGGGGCAAGUACCUAUGGUAUGAUUGAUGAUUAGGGUGAAGUCGAAACAAGGUAGCCGUUGGGGAACCAGCGGCUG